AACGCAACUUGCGCUGGGCAACCAGCAUGUCUGUUUGAGUACGGUAUAAUUGGUUGUGUGUGCGAGCACACGAGUUGAUUGCCGCUUGGUAGUCUAAAUGCGUGUUGGAAUACUGUGGGCGACGAGCUUGCAGACUGCUAGAACCGGACACGGUUUCUGUCUACACACUCGCCACCCACACUAAACUCACGUCUCAAAUCAGGCAAGACGACCCGCUGAACUUAA
rnacentral:misc_RNA from 1 species